GACGAACCGUGCGAACGUUGUUCGGAAUCACUGGGCUUAAAGGGUGCGUAGGCGGCUAGGCAAGUCGGGUGUGAAAGCCCUCGGCUCAACCGAGGAAUUGCGCCCGAAACUGCUUGGCUUGAGGGAGAUAGGGGCGCGUGGAACUUCGGGUGGAGCGGUGAAAUGCGUUGAGAUCCGAAGGAACGCCGGUGGCGAAAGCGACGCGCUGGGUCUCUUCUGACGCUGAGGCACGAAAGCUAGGGGAGCGAACGGG
rnacentral:misc_RNA from 1 species